CUAUAAAGCUUCUAGGGAGGGGAGUAGGAUGCAAUGGUGGGUGUGCUGGAGCAGGUGGGUGUAAUGGAGGGUGAGUUGGAACAACAGGGGUGUGAACGGGUGGGUGUAGUGGUGGAUGUGCUGGAGCAACAGGUGUGUGGACAGGUGUAGGAGCAGGAGGGUGAGGAUGAUGGUGGUGGUGGCCGUGAGUUGGUGGUUUAGCAGGUACAGGAGCAGAAUGGUAAGGAGGGUGUAGAGGGGUGUGAAUAGGAGAAGGAGAAGGAGUAGGAGUAGGAGCAGGGGUUGGUGAGUGAAUGUGGUGGUGGUGAUGGUGGUGAGGGGCGUUAGCCGGUGGGUGAAGUGGAGCUGGUGUUGUGUGAGGAGGGUAAGUUGGGGUAAGAGUUUCAAGCUCUUCUGCAAAUGUAGUGAAAGAGAUGAGUUGGAGUAAGAGUAGCAACAUUGCAAGGGUUUUAGCCAUUUCUCAAAGUGUAAGAGAAAGUAACCCUAGAAAGAGAGAGGAAGAGGAUGUGAUGUUGGUGUUAUGAGAGAGUGUGAGGGUUGAUUUAUAGGACCUAGUGCCCAAAUUUAUUGUGGUUUUUGUUUAUAUGCAAGUUAUUUUUUAAAAUAAUUUUGUUUCUUUAUUUUUGCUUUUUAGUGCAAGAUAUAAGCAGAAAUUUGGGGAAGGGGUUCCGAAAACUAGGAAAACAAUAGGACAAUGGGUAAAUGUUAAAAAUAUUUAAUUGUAUUUUUGUCUCCUAUUUUUUCAAACUUACAAAAUUAAUUUUCAUUUUUUUAACUUGAAAUUUUUGAUGCUCUAAUGCUAUGUUUAAUUGGUUUCGCGUUCAAUAUUUAUGGCAUUGUUCAAAUUGUGUUGUCUACAUGAUCACUGGUGUGAACAUCUUUUUAGUCUUGAAUAAGUAUUAUAGACCCAAUUUAUCUACACUAACUAUAAGAAAUGUUAUGUACAAUAGUAUUUUUUGUUGGAAAUAACCUAAGGAAAUUUUAACACUUGUUCUAUUUUUUCCUUAAUUCUUGGAUAUUUUGCUUCUAAUAUUGGUAUUUUGUACGUUUUAAAUGUUGAAAUUAUGGAUGUUAUCCUUGCUAUUGAGUUAGCUUAUGAGAAAUAUUUGACUCAUCUUUGACUUGAAUAUGAUUCUUAGCUUGUCAACUUGACUUUUAUGCCGUCUAAGAUCAUUUAUUAGAAUUUAUAUAAUCAUUGAAAAAACUGUUUUGAUUUGCUUAGAAAUAUAACUUUGAGGUCACUCACAUUUACGAGAAGGAAAUUGUUGUAUUGAUCGUAUUGCUAAUAUAUGUAUUUUUAUCUUUAGUCUCGCUUGUGCGAUAGCACGUCAGAUUUCUAUUAAAGACGAUUUUCAUCAUAAUCGAUUAGGUUUACCUUUAUAUAUAUUUUGUUUAUGUUGGUUUCUGCAAUAUAUAAACUCUACACUUUUUCUUUUUUUUUCGUUCAUCAAGCUUUCAAUAAAGCAAAAUGUUUUUAACACCUUAUGCCUUGUCUUGGGUAUUGUCAUAGUCUCCCCAAGUUAUACUAUAAGUUAACCAAACCACCCUUGUUAGAAUUUUAACACUUUGAAGUUCUUUACCAAACUUUUACUAUGAAAGUUUUAUUUUGUGGAAAUUUGAACACUUGUUGAAUCAUUAUUGAAAAGAUUAAUUAAAUGAAGAAAAUCUUAAUAAUUUUGUAGUAGUACAAAAGAAGGAUGAUAAAGAAAACUAUUCUGGCUUGGCACAGACAAACGGCUGAAGAAGAGCACAUGCAUAGGUACUGGUUAUCCAAUAUCUGGAAUUCGCACUUCUUGCAAGGCAAAUGUAGAAGUUUCCAAGAACGUUGGUAAUAGCAUUCUUCUUUUUUUAAAGGUUAAUAACUUGUUUUAUUAUUAUGUACUAUUGUAAUACUAAUAUUCUCUCCGGUCCUAUUUACAAAAAAUAAUUUACUUUUUAGAUACAUUAAAUAAUUUAUGUAUUUGGUUUAGGUUCUUGACUAGAUACAUACAUUAUUCAAUGUAUUUAAAAAGUGACCUUUCUCUUGUAAACAGGACCGGAGGGAGUACCUAAAAAGUGAUCUUUCUCUUGUAAACAGGGCCGGAGGGAGUGAGGGAAUACUAUAGAGGCUAGGAGCAUAAAAUGUAGCACAAAAUCACAGAAUAAAUUGUUUGGAAAAAAAUAAUCACGAAAGAAAUGGUUGAAUAAUCCAGUGUAAAGAAUCUGGUUUUUCUUUUUUUGAACUGAAAGUCAUUUGGAAACUUAAAAUAAUUCUUCAAAAUGAUGUGUUUUGGUGGGUUUAUCUUCAUGGGUAUUUUUAGGUGGUUAUGGUGUACCGUCUAUAUGCAGCACCAUUUGUAUCUUGUUUCGUCCAUACCUUACGUCUUGCGGGGAUGGCGUUUACUAAUAUUUGCCGAUUCAAAAAAAAAAGGUUUCCAUACCGUUGGAUGUUCUUAUAGAAUAUAGGUUGGAUUUAAUUCAGAUUUUAUCAAACUUUGUAAGAUUAAAAUUGUAUGCAUUUAUAACUCUUGUCCAUAACUUAUCUCUUCCAUUGUGAGACUCUAACACACUUUUUCACACCUAAAGCUAGACAUCUAAAGCAUUUUCAAUAACAGUGAUCUAAUACCAUCUCAAAAUUUACGUUGGGUCUAACUCAACUAUUAUAAAAUUAGUUUGCAAUGCAUGGAUUGCUCCGAGUUAUAAACUUAUAAUCAUACAUCGUUUUAUCUAAUAAGAGACUCUUUACAAAUUUUUCUAAUUGUUGGAUUUGAUGUAUUAAAUAGUUAGACACUCAGUCUUAUUUGAAGGGGGUUUGGGAUAAACACUCGUCUUGUCUUAUUUGAAGAGUUUUGAGAUAGAAUUUCAUUUAAUAUGCUUGAUAUUUUUAUUCAACGAGUAUUAAUUAGUCAUAUAUUUCAUAACAUUAACUAAUCACAGUGUUUGUUUAUUUACUGUACACAUUUAUUUACGUUUCUUGGCGGGCACUCCAAACCAAUCUCCAUUUAAGAACUGUGAGAAUAUUUUUGUGCCUCGUGCUUGGCUUACUUAUUGUCAGUACUCCAUCAUCCUUCUCAAAACCUAAAAAAAAAAAAAUGUUCCUGAUAUUGUACCUUUUUUAUAGUAUAUUGUACGUUUAAAUCUUGAACCAUCCCAGCAUCUUAAUGUUAAUUUUUGGGGUUUUGUAGGUAUGUUUUUUUUCUCGUGGACGGGCUAACUUACUCCAUGUAUUUUGUACUUAUUGGUGGUUAUCUACUUUUGUUAAAAUAUUUUGUGAUCUUUAUUAAUGAUAUUCCAAGCUUUUUGUACAACAUUCGCUUCAAGAUUUCUCCUUCAAAACAAACUUUGUUAUGAGCAUAUCAAAAUCCAUAACAAAGAUAUUUGAUAUAAUGUUUCACAAGCAAUCAAUGAAAGAUAUCGAAAUGCCCUUCAACCAAAAUACAAGAGAAGCACAACCAAACUUGUUUAGCAUACAAGAAAUUCAUGAAAAUAUGAUCUAAUUCUUCUGUUGCUUUGCAAAGGGGACAUAGGGGAUCGAUCAACACAUGUUUUUUAGUAAACUUCUUUUUAACCUGGGGACUAUUGUGAAGAAUCCUCCAUGCGAAGUGAAAAUGUUUAAUUAAGGAUUAUACUUAUGUUCGUAACAUAAGUAUACAUUAGGAUGCUAUACUAUCCUAUAAGCCUACGAAUUGCAUAUCCCCAUUGUGAUAAUGUGAUUCAUGAUGGGCACAAUUUGUAGACCAGACGCUUUUGUGGCAACCCCGUUAAAAAAGCCAGUUUUUUGAAAUUUGAGUUUUAUCCAAAAAUUGCUUACUUUUCAUCAUUAUUCUCAACUUCAAACGUUGAUGGAUACAAUCACCUCAUUGGUUUCUUGAGAGUCUAACAGUAAGAAAAGAUGCUGAUCAAUGGUUUCAAAUUAGAAAAGAAAAUCAAAUUUUUGAGAAUUAGUUAGUUUUGGGAGGAUUAAAUAUGAAAUAAAAAAUUAAUAGUACGUAUGAAUUUUGAUAUGUUAGUUUUCAAUUAGAAUACCAGUGGAGAUUAAUUAAGUCUAGUAAGAAAGGUUGGAUUCUCAUUUCUCAUAACUUGACAAUUAAGAUUUAAACACAUAAUGAGAGAAGCAUACACAUUUAGGAUCGAAUACAUCUCAGAUAGAAUUACUCAAAGUGGAAGAAAUUUAUAGAAAAAAAAAAUCACAUUACGUAUAUAAAUUAUGUAUUGAGAAUUUUUUAUAUACUAGCACAUAAUCGUGUUUGGAUUUAUUUUUGGGAGAAUAACAAUAUGAUUCUCAAAAACCCAACAAAUAAAACAUGAUUCUCAAAAAUUAAAAUUGAAUUUUAGAACAUGAUAUGUUUAAAAGUUCUUCAUUAGAUUGAUUAUAAAUCAUGUAGAUCAAAAACCUUUGUCCGUAGUCCAGGGCCCAAAAAACUAGGCUGAAUUUCUUUGGAACAGAUACUAUUCGGCUAUGAUUCAAACACCGAAUUGUAAACGUUCCAAUAUGACGAACUAACGUACAAAUUAUGGCCAAGGGAUUUACCAACAUGAAAUACCUGACACAUCUCUCCCAUACAUAGAGCUUGCGCUAUUGGGUCUGGAGUAAUAAUUGUUCCAGUAUCUACUCGGUGAGGUCUACUUAUAGGUUCCUUCAUAGGAGAGCUAGCGAGGCGGAUAGGUGGCUGAGAGAGAUUUCUUUCAAGGAUGUGGGAGUCUCAAGGUGAAGAAUUUAUCUUGACAACCGCUUUAUGAUAGGAUUUCGAAUCACCAUAAUCUCUUUCCUAUAAGGGUUAUAGUUUAUCUUAGGGGCAUUUUUUUGUGUUUUCUAUAUGAACCUAUAGUGUCGACUUAUGACCUUUUUUGUUAGGUGUACUUAUCUAUGUGAGAUAUGUGGUAUUAGAGCAUCCACAAUGGAGAUAUCCAUUUUUUGGUUGUUAAAUGAGUCCCACGUAUACACAUUACUUAUUUAUACUUUUUUAAUAGUAGUACAUAAUAAGCACUCAAUCACUCCAACCCAGAUCUCACACAAAGUUCUUAAAUGGGAUCCACUAAUCAACUAUCAAUAACUUUAUAUCAUUAUAUUUCAAUUUUUUAAUAUUAAAAGAGUGCGUGUCCUGCUUAAAAGUUUGGGUCUUAAGUAAGACCCCAAGUCUUAUAAGACCCUGAAAAAGAUUCUCUCAAUUGGGGGUACCUAAUAGGUACCGGGUCUUAAAUAGUUAAGACCCUCCCAUUGGAGAUGGUCUUAUGUGCUUGGGUGAUUGGAGUGAGGGUCAGUUUUACCUUCGAAUUUAGCAAGCAUUCUUAGUUUUAUGUUAAGAGAGGUUGGGUUUCUUACUACUAUGUCAAACUGUUGUGUGGUCCUUAUAAAGUUCUUGUAUGUUCGCAUUUUUUUGGGUAGGGAACUUUCGUGUUCUAGUUGAUAGAUAUGGUUAAACUCACCUAUGAUAGAUAUGGUUAAACUCACCUAUUAGAAGUGGUUUUUAGGAAAGUAUUCCGGCCACACCUAUUAUUUCUAUGAGUGCGAUCACGAAUCCAUUUUGUGUUGACAUCGAUAGUGUAACGUGAUGGCUUUGUUUAGAGGUUUGUUGACUGUGGGGGUUCUAAUCCUAUUCUUCCUCUUGUUUGAUUGUGGUUGGAUGUUUCUAAUAGAAUGUUAGACAAUUUUCUUGUGUUGUUUUGGUUUGGCUAUUAUUUUAUGAGAAAUGAUAUUUGUACAACCACUUUAUGAUAAUUUUUUGAUAACUUUCUCUCUCAUACUCACAUUAUAUUCUUAUUCUCUCUGGACCUUUUUCUCUCUAUUGUUUUUGACCAGUGAAAAGAGAGAAAAUAAUAGUUAUCAUCAAAGUUGUCACCAAUGGUGGUACAUAUAUCACUACUCUACUCUUAUUUUAUUUAUGGAUUGGCUUGAGUACUUCUUCAUAUGUAUGUACUCUAUCACGUGUUUCUUCCUUUUUUUUUUUAGGUAGCCUAGUGGUUAAAAUGCAUCUUAUAAGGUGAAUAAAUGGGGUGUUCGGAGUUCGAACUCCGGCCACUGCAUAUAAUAAUGCAUUGUCCUACCAACUGGCUCACGGAACUCUUCCUUUUUUAUAUUUGCCAUUAAAAAGAAAUAAUGAUAAUAUUCGGUUAGCUUAUCAUAUGAAUGGUAACGAUCCCUUGAAAAAAAUAUAUGAAUAGUAACGAUAAUUAUGGAAACAACCGGUUCUUGAUUCACAUAUAAAUAUGUGCAUCUUCAAAUUGUGUUGACUCAAUUAUCUCUAAUGUGAACUUUUUUUCCGUCUUAACUCUUAAUACUCUCUCUAUCUCUUCACUUUUUUUUUUGACCACAUUUAGUAAAAUUUUAAAAUGAAUGAAUUUUAAAAUAUAUAUAAUAUAUAGAAUUAUUAGUAGGGCUCAUUUUGUUUUUUGAAGAGCUUAGUUUGAGAAAUGAAGUUCUAUUAGGCAUAAAAUGAAUAAAGCGCACAUGCAAGAACCGCUUAUAAACUCAAAUGUGAGAGCUCUCUAUUGCGGGUGUUAUUAGAUUAAUGUUACAAAUAACUUCAAAAAAUCUUUUUUUACUAAACCUAAAAAACUUUUCAAAACUUUAAAUUCCUGUUUGAUGCGAAGAAUAUGAUACAACAAGAUAUGAUAAAUUGUUAGAUAAAAUAAGAUAUAUUAAUGACAUUAUAUUGUACCAAAAAAAUAAAAAUAACGACAUUAUAAACACCUACGAUAUCAAAAUUGUCUUAAAAUAUGGGCAUCUUCAAAUUAUCACUCAUGUGAACAUUUCUUUGUUGUCUUAUUAACGGUCCUCUCAAAAUAUCCUAACUUUGGAGUAAUAAGCAAAGGUGCUCAAUUGAUUCAAAAAAAAAAAAGUAAAGUCUCUUAAUAUUUAUUAAAAAAAAAAAAACUAUUCUAGAGGAAAUCUGUAGAGAUGUUGUCAAUAUGACAAUAUUCAAGUUCAGAAUAUAUUUUUAUGACAAUGGAUUAAAUAUGUUAGGUCAUUCAUAAAUAAUAGUCGUCUAACUUAAUACUAAAAAAAACUGUUUGAAUUCAUCAUUCUUACUUUUUUUUUUUUUUUCUUUUUUUUUUUAUAAACCGGAUAUCCUUCACGCGCAACUGCGGAGACUAAUCCCUCGAGUAUUGUGGGACCCAAAUGGGCGGCGGACUCUCUCUAAGAGUUUUAACUCUGCUGCAUGCCCAAGGCUGAAUACGAACCAAGAACCUUGGUUAAGCUAGAAGAGACUUGUUCCAUCUCAUCUAAAGCGCUCUUGGAUAUUCAUUCUUACUUCUUGAAUAACAUAAAUUGGAGUAAACAAAUUAAAUAAAAACGAUAAACAUUUUUUUAUUGCUGCAUUCUUACAAAAACCAUCCAUCACACACUCAUGAUGUCACUAUUAUGAAAGUGGAAACAAAGCUCCUAUCACUAAAAGACAUCAAUCUUUAUAAAUCCAAAAUUUCUUGAAUUCUAAUUUUCUUAAUGAGAGCAUUUAGGUUCAAACGCAAGGGGCGCAACAUUGUAGAGAAUAAAAGGAUGCCCUUCAGAUACAAAUGACUUCUUGGCCUUAAGAACGGCACCCGUGAUACCGCCAUGAAGAUUUGAGGGCUUUAGUCCAUUUGGUGCACUGACCAAUACAACAUUACACUUGCGAGCUGCAUAGCUUGAGAUGUUAUUUGAGCCUUUAAUAUAGAAAUAACCGUUCUUAUCUGUUUUUCCUUUUAAGACCACAUAUUGUUUGGUGUUGUUGCAUCGGAGCUUCACAACGGCACCUUCAAUUUCAAAACACCAUAACAUUAAUAAUAAUGAUCAUUAUUGUUUAAAAAGGGUACAUAACAUUGUCAUAUCAAUGAAAAAGGAUCCAACAAAAUAUGUCCAUUCUCGGUAAUCAUGCAACUUUAUUAAAAAUUUGAUGAAGAAAACUAAAAUUGAAAGAAAAUUGCGUAAAAAAUGCUCGGUGUAUAAUAAAAGAUCUAUAAAAAAAACUAAUUUGUAAAAAAAAUGAUAUGAAAGAACAAAGCAAUCAUGAAAGUUAAGAGACAAACCAAUUAUAGAUGUAGCACCCAAAAGGGUGUCACCUCCAGCAUGCUUGCAAGAUUUGACAUAAACAACACCUUGAACAGCUAUUAAGCUUCUAGGAUGGAAAAUUGAACGCAGUGGUGUGUGAGCAGGGGCAAGAGCAGGAGUGUGAUGAUGGCGGGGGUGAGGGUUGGGAGUUGGAGAUUUAGUAGGUACAUGGGCGUGGAAUGGAGGGUGAAUUGGAAUGUGUUUGUGAGCAGGGGCGUGAGCAGGAGGGUGGUGAUGUGUUGGUGGUUGAAUAGGCGCAUGAGUUAGAGGGCGUUGAUGGUUGUGAUGAGUUGGAGGUUUUGCAUGGCGAGGAGGAUGUACUGGAACAUGUUUGUGAACAGGGGCAUGAGCAGGAGGCUGGUGGUGAUGCGUUGGAGGUUGAACAGGGGAAUGAGUAGGAGGGUGUUGAUGGCGAUGAUGGGUUGGAGGUUUAGCAUGAUGAGGAGGAUGAACUGGAACAUGUUUGUGAAUAGGAGCAUGAGCAGGAGAGUGAUGGCGAUGUGUUGGAGGUUGAAUAGGGGAAUGAGCAGGAGUGUGUUGAUGACGGUGAUGGGUUGGAGGUUUAGCAUGGUGAGGAGGAUGAACUGGAACAUGUUUGUGAACAGGGGCAUGAGCAGGAGAGUGGUGGUGAUGUGUUGGAGGUUGAACAGGGGCGUGAGCAGGAGGAUGUUGAUGAUGGCGAUGGGUUGGGGGUUUAGUAUGAUGAGGAGGGUGUAAAGGAGCGUGAACAUGGGAACGAGAAGGGGUUGGUGAAGGAUUGUGAUGAUAGUGGUGAGGGGAUUUAGCCGGUGGGUGAAGUUGUGUUGGUGUGUGAAGAGAUUCAAGCUCUUCAGCAAAUGCAAUGAACGAGGUUAAUUGGAGUAAGAGUAGCAACAUUGCAAGAGUUUUGGCCAUUUUCUUUGUAAGAGAAAAUAACCUAGAAAGAGAGGAAAUGAGAGAGGAAGGGAUGAUGUUGUGAGAGUGACCGAGUGUGAGACUUGAUUUAUAUAGGAGCUGAUCACCAUAAUCAUUGCAAUUUUUGGUCAUGACAAACAAUUUUUCUUAAAUUUAAUUGAUUCGACAAACAAUUUUUCUUAAAUUUAAUUGAUUCUUUAGCGCAAGAUAUUAGCUGAAAUUAGGGGAAGAAGUACUGAAAAUAGGAAAUUGAAAACGAUAGGAGUUAAUGUCGAAAUUGUACCGAAAGUAGGAAAUUGAAAACUAUAUAUAGGAGUUAAAGACCAGUUUGAAAUUUGGAAAGGGUGGUACUCAGAAUAGGAAAUGAAAAUUAUACUCCUAUUCUGAAUAGGAAUAUGAAAAUUAUAGUAGUUAAUGUCGUAAUUCUUUUUGCACUUUUGUUUAUAACAUAAAUAAAUUUUAAAAGACUUUCAAAAAACAUAAAUUAAAUUUUUACCAAAUAAUUAACCCAACGAAUCGUUUGAAAGAACUCGAGUUCAAUCUCCGAGUAAAAAUGAUUUUUUGUUAAACUUUAUUUACCUUCCGGUAAGAUUUUAGAUUAUUAGAGUCUUUUCUUCUAAAAACCAGUGAGUUAAAAAAUAUAUUCAAUCUCUAUUACCUCUUAUUAACGCAUUUUGUGAAGGGACGGGAGUGCUGAAAAUAAGCACUAAUAGAGAUUGAUGAUUUUUUUUUUAACUCACCGGUUAAUUUUUUUUUUAAGGAAUAUUUAUAAACAAUGAGGAAAUGGUGACAUUUAAUUAUUUAAAGUGACAUUAUGGUCAUUUAACACUGGACAAAUAUUUUAUACUUAAUCAACUAUGGAUGCCGUUUUUCAGGAGUUGGUUACUCUAGGAGUCAUUUUUAGGGGGUUGAUUAUUUUGGUGGGUGUUGUCCUUACGAGUGUUGAUUGCAUAUGUGUCUUUGUUGGUGUUUUAUUUUCGGAUGUUCCGUCUAUAUACGGCGCCUUUUGUUUGUACUUUUUAUCUGAUCUCUGUUCGUCUUGUGCAUGGAUCUGAUUAUUAAUAAAAUUUUGUUGAUUAAAAAAAAAGUCAACACCUCAAGUGUUUUUAGUAAGAGGAUCGAUAUAUCUUGCGAGAGAAAUCAAAGCACAACUCACACACGAAAUAUGGGGUAAUGGUAUUAAAAUUUUAAAAUAAAAUUGCAUCCAAUUCACAUCAUACGGUUCCUAGUUGUUUGUAGUUAGCGGUAUAAAAAAAAUACAAAUUAAACCACAUUAAAUUGAAUUACUAUCUAAAAAAAAGUUAUGGUUAAAAUGACUAACAAUUUUCCCUAACAAAAAAACGACUAACAAUUUUUUUUAUCAGAACUCUCAUGUCGAGUUCAAUAGAAGACAUUUUUUAUCCUAAAAAACUAACGUGCAUUUUUUUUUUCCUGCAACCAUAAUUUAUCUAUGCAUCGUGAGUUUACACACUUCCCUUUUUUAUUUAGUUUAUAAAUUUUUGUAAUUUCUUUGACAUAAAUUAUUAUGAAGGACCCUUUUUUUUGACCAAAUGAUGAAGGAACUUUGAACUGACGUAUUUAAAAAAAAAUGUUCAAAUUAAAUUCAUGAAGUGAAUUUCUUAUUUUAAAAAAAUACACGAAGUAAAUGGAUAAAUAUUCAAAAUAAGAACAUAAAUGUAAUUAUUUAAAUUUUUAUUGUGAUGAAAAGAGGAAUUAAUUAUUUAAAUUAAAGGAAUUAACUAUUUUGAUUUUUUUUAGGGACGGAAUUAACUAUAUGAGAUAAAUUAUUUUUAUUCUUUUGCCAAUUAUUUUAUAAGUAAAUUAUAUAUGCGGCACCUAUGCAUUAAUAUUAUUCUUCAUAAAUAAUAUUGGUCUGAUUGAGUUUAACAAUUGGUAGGACAAUUCAUAAUAUAUGUAAAAGUCGUGAUUUGAACCCUAAUCAUCCCACUUUUCCGUAUUUAAAAUUUGUCAGCUCCAACCACUAGACUACUUGAUAAAAAAACCAUUUAAGAUAUUAAUUUAUAUAGUAUGUCAGUAAGUAUAUAAUUAUUUUACGCAUGAAUCAAAUGAUGUAUUUCCGUGUCAAUUAAUAAUAUUUAAUAGUUUUUUUUUGUUGCAAAAAGAUAAUAUAUUUAAUACAUUUUUCUUUGAAAGGUAAUAACAUUUAAUACAUGCUCCUAUAUUAUAAAAGGAAAUCAUAUUAGUACGUAAUGGUUAUUUAAUUGAAUUAAUAAGUAAUAAAAUUAUAGGCCGUCUCAUAAGUUAGGAUAAAAAUGUCGAAAUUGUUAGGCCAAUCAUCGUUACUGUGGUUCGAACCCCAACACAUCCACUUUGUGUGUCUGAGUUUAUGAUGACUUUGCCAUUUUGUCUAUAUAAAAAAAAAGUAAUAAAAUAAUCGAUCGUAACCAAAAUCCUAAUUUUUUCUCCUUCAUCUACCAAAGAUGAUGAUUUAGGGUCAAAUUUUGACCCUAAAUCACCUCUGUAACUCAUUCUUCUCUUUCCCUUAUGUUGAAAUAAGUGAUGUUUACUUGUAUUUCGUUUUUUAUUUUAUGAUUUUAUCGUCUUAGUGGGACGUCAAUUUGUUCGUCAUCUUUGUGCGGCGUUACUUGUCUUUCUUGUUUUGUUCAGAUAUUUGUUCGGUUCUGUCAGAUCAACUUCGAUCCAAUGUAGACUCAAUUAAUGACUUUUUCGUCGUCCAUGUUGUGAGUUUGUUCGGGGAUUAAUCUUUUUUAUUUUUAAUAAAUUUACAUUGUAUCAAUGUACUCUAUCAAUUUAAAUAAAUGAAUAUAAUUUAUUUUUGUAAAAAAAAAGUAAUAAAAUAAUUGUAAAAGGAAACAAAAAUAAUGUAAUGAGUUAAUUUCGAGUUUUUCUAUUCACACCCUGUAUAUUUCUGGUUACAUCCAGUUUUUUUAAAAAGUAUUUGAUAAUACCAAAUUUGUCCUUUUAUAUAAAUUUUCUUAAAAUCUUAAUUUCAUUCAUUGUCACUCUAAAAUUCCACUCUCUUUCACCCACCAACGAUCAAACAAUCCUGAUGUUCAAUUAAUCUCUAUGGAAGAUUAAAGAGUGAAUCAAAACAUGUUUCAUUCAUACCCGAUUGCAUAUAAAUAAGUGAAUUUUUUCUUCUUUUUCAAUAACGCUGGUUUCAAUUUUCUUCUUCUUGUUCAACUGCACUGUACGACAGUUUCAGUUUUACAUUGUUGAGGUUAACUUAAAUUCAGUUUAAGUAGGUUCAUGUAAACUUAGUUUACAUAAUCUACUUAAACUUAGUUUACAUAACCUAUUUAAACUGAAUUUAAGUAUGUACAUACUUAAACUGAUAUUAUGUAUAAUCAUUGAACAAGGUUGAACUUUUAGAUGUACACUUAAACUCAGUUUACAUGACCUACUUAAACUGAGUUUAAAUAUGUAUACUUAAACUCAGUUUACAUGAGCUACUUAAACUAAGUUUACAUGAUCUACUUAAACUGAGUUUAAGUAUGUACACUUAAACUUAGUUUACAUGACCUACUUAAAAUAAAAUAAGUUUACAUGUACAUACUUAAACUGAGAUUACGUAGAAUCAUUGAACAAGGUUGAACUUUUAAAUGUACACUUAAACUCGGUUUACAUAACAUAUUUAAACUGAGUUUAAGUAUGUACACUUAAAUCCAGUUUACAUAACCUAUUUAAACUGAAGAGGGAUUUUAUGGUGUAACCAAGAAAAAAUGAAGAUGCUUUUUGAAAAUUAAAUUUUAUGGAAGGGUAAUCUUGUCAUUUUAGGGUGCAACCAGGAUUAAACAUGGUGUAAUUAGAAAAACUCGUUAAUUUCCCGUAAAAAAUAAUGCAAUGAGUUAUUCUCAAACUAAAUAUUUAUAUCUAACCAAAAAAAUAUUUAUUCCAUAAAAAAAAAACUUUUAUCCCCUAUUUUUUUCCUUUAUGAAUUUUGAUUUAUUAUUUUAUUUUGGUCAUUUUUUUUAUGUUGUGGUCUAUUCACUUAUAACGUCACAAUGCUUAUUAGGUCACAUUGAAUAUACACGUAAGUAAAAACAUGGUUAAUAAGCGCUUCUACAUCUCAAAUGAAUAGAUCACAUAAUCAAAAUAUGACCCAAAAACGAGAUUAAGGACCAAAAUUCACAAAACAAAAAGGAAAAUAGGGGGACUAAAAAACCAAUUUUUUAUAAUAGGUGCAUCAAAAGUGCAUUUAAACAAACGAAAAAAAAAGGUCUGGCCAAUUUGAUUAUUUCUUUUUUCUUUUCUUACUCCUUGUCACUUUUUUUUUUUUUUUGUGUGUUAAUCCUUCGGUUAUCAGAGAAUAAGUCUAGUAAUCUGGAGUUUGACCAAUAGCUAAAUAAAGUCUGAACAAAAAUUGGUUUGCCAAUAAAUUAGACUUAUAUUUUCUAUAAAGAUUCGUCUUUUAAUGUAUUGACCACUUAAACAUAAAGAGAAGGGCCUGAACCAAACCUUCUAGGAAAGAUAUAAAUUUAAAACUAGGAAAACCUAGCUUAUUUCUAAGAUAGUUUUCCACUGCACAAUUGGCAAAUUCAUCUAGCAAGCAUAACAAAAAGUAUUAAUACCUAUGCUAACUAGUUUACCUGCAUAAUGGUUACCCUCCCUAAAGAUGUGAGAUCGCCACAACAAAAUUCAUGACUCUAGAAAUGUCCAAACAACUGCUCCAUCUACUCCCUCAAUCCCAAAUUAUAAGUUCAUUUGAGAAAAAAUUGUCUUAAAUUAUAAAUCGUUUUACAAUACCAAUGAAACAUUAAUAAUAUUUUUUCUAUUAUACCCUUGACAAAUUAUUAUUUUAUCUUCUUUCAAUUCUUUAAUUUAUCUUUCUUAUACCAUUUAUCAAGAACAAUUUUGUAAAACAAUUCAUAAUAUCUCUUUCAUAUACAAAAUUAAUUACAAUUCUUUAUACGUGUGAAAUGACUAAGAGGUGGCAAUUGGCAUUACAAGAGUGAGUUUUUUGGUACAAAAUGAAGGCUGGGGUGUGUCAAAAGAGAAGUAUUGUUGUAAAUUUGGGGUAAUUUUAGAAGUUUUACAUUUUUUUAAGGGUUCAAAAGUUUUACAAUUUUUUUUUAAUCAACAAAUAUUAUUAAACGUCAUCCCCCCGCAAGACGCAAUGUAUGGACGAAACAAGAUACAAAUGGUGCCACAUAUAGACGGUACACCAUAACCCCCGGACAAAGCCCCUGAAGAUAACCCCCAUAACACAUCACCACCUUAACAAAAACAAACACUGUAAACACAGUAUCCGCAACCACCCAUCGUCACUACUCACCCCAGAGAACACCCCUCAAAAUAAAACUCCCAAACUUCAACACCAAACUGAGCCACAUUCGAAAAGCUCAUAACUGAAUGAACAUGCAGCUUCCACAACCUCUCGAACUCCGAUCCACCGAAAGAGCACAAAACAAAAGGCCAAAAACCAACUUGAGCCAAAGAGCUGACUUCCGAUCUCGGAUCAAAAGUUUUACAUAUAUGCGUCUUAUAUUCUUAAAUGAAAAAUAUGAGAAGAUAUUUUAUUAAAAACUGUCAUGUGCCUUUAAAUUUUGUGGGAUUUAAUUUAUAUACACGGUCGGUGUAAAGAUCUUUUACAUUGUCAAUCAAUCAUAACAGAUCAUUAAAAACAUUUAACUUUAAUCAUAACUAUUUUUAAAGUGACAUAUAUAAUUGAUUGUGAUUCGCUGACGGUGUAAAACUUUUCAUCUCUAUAAAAAUUAAACUCAAAUUUUGUGUUAUUUCAAAAGUUUUAAAUAUAGUGUCCCAUAUUUUUAAAUGAGAAAUAUGAAAAGAUAUCUUAUAUAAUAAUAUUUGAUUUAGUCAAAUCCUUUUGGUCAUAUCAAAAUUUGACUUAGUUUUUAGAAGGUUGUUGUCUUUGUUUUUAGAAGUUUUGUCAUUUGGAAGAAGGCGCAAUUAGAAAAUUUCAAUUCAAUAAUGUCUACGUCUAAGAUGGUCCAAAUGAGGAAAAAGAAAAGUCUACUAGUCUAGUCUAUAAAUAGAAAAGGUUCCAUUUAACGUGAUAAAUAAUGCUGGCAAUGCCUCUUAUGGAGGGAAAGAAAAAAAGGUCAGCAAAUACGUUUCAUUUCAACAAAAUAAUAACAUCGUGACAUUGACAUAGCCUAUGGUCUAAUUAACACCGUAUUCAAUUUUACAUCAUACAGUAUGAAACAUUAUACAAACAAGCUCUUGCUCUUGUUUUUGUACAUGAUAAUUUGAUCGAAAUUCUAUUGAUCCAUAAGGGACGACGUCACAUGCAUGAUGCAACCUCCUACAGAUUCAAUGCACAUACUUAAGACACACAUGUAAAAGUGUUAAAAACCAAUACCAUCACAACAUUUACAGUGUUAUUUACACUGAAAGCGUAAUGAAUGUGACUUGUUCACAAAGUUUAACAAAAAAACAACUAACUGAAUUUUAUGAUAUUUUAGCAUUGAAUGACAGAAUAACAUGUUGGUUGAAAACCACAAGUAGUUGAAACUUGAAGGCAAAGAACACUGCAUAUACUAAAAGUGAAAAAUCCAGUAACAUUAACCUUUAAAAUCACAUGUAUACAGUAGAUUACCAGUGCAUUCAUUUUAUGUACCAAGAGACAUUCAAAAAGUAUAAAAGUAAAAAGCAUUAAUCCAUGUCAGCUACAAAUAUCCUCUCCAAUUACUUUAAUACCCAUGAAUCUUAACAAAAAUCUUACUCUAACAUAAUUAUAAGUUAUAAGCUAACUGAAUCGGUAGUUGCAAUAUACGGAUGGACCUAAUACUUGAAUUCAAAUUUUAAAAACCAGUUCUCUCAUGUCUUACAUGAAAGAAUGCCUCCACUAUCUAAACAAUUUUAUAAGAAAAAAUUGCAUACUAUUAUUUAUCUACACAUUUAAUAUAGUGUAAACCAUCUUUUUUAGUACAUGUACAAUCAAAUGUUAUGCUUAUGGUUGAUUAUGCAAUUCUCAUAGAUUGCAAUUAGGAAAAAGCAAAAUAAGCAGUUAUGAACCAACUUUCACUGAGUAUACAUAGGAGAAAAGAUAAAUAACCUUAUUAGACUUGUAAAACAAAUAAAGUCUAUAUAUCAAUGUUACUCUCAAAAAAGAGAACUAAGACUGAAACUAAAGUAUGCUUUUCGCCUCAAUGUACAAAGCCUAUAUAUCAAUGUUACUCUCAAAUGAAUGUUAACUAAGACUGAAACUGUAACAACCUAUUUCUGCAUUGGGUUGGUAUUCAAUUAACCAUUCAAUAUUAAUUACAAUAUUGGAUCUAGUGUACUACACAAGUCAGAACACUCAGAAUAUACAUGUAAAUUUUGGUUUAGCCACAAAACCACUACUAUGAUGUUGAUGUGUAGGACUAUGCUUGUGAAUCCAAUGAAGAAGCCCUUUUUUAUGAUCAAGUCCACAAGGAUUUUGUAGCGGGGUCAACGUUCCAUCGCGAGCAAGCGAAGAUUCAAAUUGUUCUAACACCUUAACAACCUGCCAGAACUCAGGCCUUUUGUCCGGAUUCAAGGACCAACAUUGCUCCAUUAAAGCUCGCAUAGCUGGUGGGCAGUUUGAAGGAAUAACAGGCCUUGAAUUCUGAAAAGAAAAAAAACACAAAUCUUUGUAAUUGUCAUAUAAUUAAGUGAAGGAAUCUUCAUAAAAAAAUGCUGUAACAUAAAGAAUGAUAUGUCAUUAUAAAUAUUAACAAGGUUUCACCAUUCAUAUCGCAAAUUGACAUGACUUAAUUGCAAAGGAACAUACCUUAUUUAGGACAGCAAAAGCAGCCUGGACGGGAGUCAUAUCCUCGAAUGGUAUUCUACCGGUAAGCAUCUCCCAUAACAUAAGCCCAAAACUAUAGACAUCAACCUUUCUCCCAUAGGAUUUUCUCUUGAUCAUCUCAGGUGCCAUCCAACGGUAGGUACCAAGGUCGUCAGCAAGUAACUCGCAGUGUGCUUCCUCACAAGCAAUGCCAAAAUCAGCAAUUUUAAGGUGAAAGUCAUCAUUAAUAAGGACAUUCUCUGGUUUAAGGUCUCGAUGAACGACGCCUUGAGAGUGUAUAUAUUCCAUUCCACGAGCAAUAUCCAAAGAAAAAGCAAUUAGUUUCUGUAGAGAAAUCGUUUUUCCCUCCAACUUGUGCAAAUAACUCCUCAACGAACCUUCCGAUAGAUACUCUGUGAUAACACAAUAAACAGGUGGGUUUCUGCAUGCUGCUACCAACUGCACAAUCAGAUCAAUAUAUAUAUAUAUGAGAAAUCAUGUAUAAAACACCUUCCUUGUAAUACUAAAUUUCUCUAUACAUGAUGUGAAGUAUGUAUGAAGUGCAUAAUAUAAUUAGACCAAUUUCCCAUAGGAUGUAGAAAAUAGUAUCCCUAAUUUUCUGUAUGGUUUACCUAACUUUUCUUAUAUAUUUAUAUUCCAUUAAAUAAAUAAAAACUAUACAAAAGAAGAGAAACAGUUGAAUCUAAUUACCUUAAGAACAUUUGGAUGGUGGAGGCGAGAUAAAAGCGUGACUUCCGUGAAGAAUUGUUUGUCUAAUGUAGCAGCUAUUGUUCCGUGUUCAUCGUCAUCUGGUACCUUGAUAUUUUUGACGGCAACAGGUUCGUCUUCAUACAAACCAUGGUAAAGCCUACUAUGAGCUCCAUGAGCAAACCUAGGACCAACAAAGAGCUUAGAGAGGUCAAUAUUCCAUUUAUCCUCAGAUGUUUCAAUCGCAGUAACCUUUCCUCCACGGUGCUUUGAGUUCUUCGACUUGUCAUUCAAUCUCAUCGAUGAAAGGUGCUUAACUGCUGUUGCCAUAUUGGUGCUGCUAAACGAUGAAAAAGCCUAUUCCAAGCAAUUUUUAAGAGUGUAACAAAAGAGCCUAUAUAUUGGUAUUUUUCCGAAACAAACUUCCCUUUUUUCCUCUAAUUACGAAACAACCUUUCUUAUUUCUCUCAGGAAACAACUUCCUUAAACAUAGAAUUUGGUUUUUUCUAAAUUACCUUUGAAGAUAGUUCAUGGAUACCACUUGAAAAUGUGCUUAUGUGGCUAAUGUGUAUUGGUUUGGUAAAUUAUCCACCAUUCUUCCAUAGGUAUCCUAGUUGUCACUUUUGUUGAAAAGUUAUAUAUAUUUUUUUAAAUCUAAUUGAAGUUUUUUUUUUAAAGAUAAUCUUUUUUUGGUUACAUUUUGAAAGAUAAUCUAAAAGUAUUUAUAAUGAGUAAACCCCCCAAUCAUUUAAAAAAUAUAUAUAUACAUGUGUUUUUUUUAAGGAUACAAGUAUGUGUUAAAAAAGAAUCUUUCAAAAAAAAAAGUAUGUGUUAUAUUUUUCUUAAAAUAAAGAAAAGAAAGAGUAUGUGUUAUAUUUUUUGGUCUUUAUAUUUCGUGAACAUAUACGGUAUAAUGAGCUUUUUUUGAUUCAAUAUUGUGGAACUCAAACAUUUAAGUUUUUAGGUUUAAUUACACUAAUUCUUACUCGAAUUCUUAAACGCAAAAAGAAAAUGAGAUUUUGUCUACAAUUUACAAAAUAGCACUAUUCCUGAACUAGAAUCUCAAUUUAGGAUUUUUCAUUGCAAUUUUUCUUAGAAAUUUCAACUCAUUGCAUGUGAUUUGUUUGCAUGUUCUUGACUACUAGCCAAAAUUCAUUGUUCGUGAUUUCAUCGUGAUGAAUUCAUCCCCUCCUACAUUUACAUUUUCGUUCCAUAUUUUCUUCGCUUUUCAAAAAUCUUUAUCUGCUAAUUAUCUAAUAAGCCUCAAGAUACUUAUUUUUCUUAUAUCCUUUGAAUUUCUUAUGAUUUUUUUAUUUUUUUUUUAUUUUUUUUUUUAUGUAUUUUAACUUUGAAUAUAUCUUGUAAUUUCUUACGUAUACUAUUAAUUUUUUUUAACAAAUUAUACUUCAACUUGGUCUCCUUAAGCUUGAUUCUUGUAACCUGAGAGCGUGUUCCUCUUCAAGGUUUCAUGUUUGACUCUCUCCGAUGUCAAUUUGGAUGGACUAAUUUAUCUUCUUAAAAAAAAGUUUGAUUCUUGUACUCUGUCAACGCAAAUAUGCAUAUAUAUCACAAGAUUGUCGUUGCCAAAUUCUUUUGAUUCUAUAAUAAUAGACGUUUCUGACGCAAAGAUCAAUGAUUUAGAAAGAUCAAUGAUUCAGAAGCAUCAAUCUCCUUUUGCAAUAUGACAUGCAUUCUUGUAAAUUCAUGCAUGAUUUAUCAAUUUGUUUGUAAUUUUAAUUAGGAUAAUCGAAAAUCGAUCCAAAUUAAAUCGCAUUAGACUAAAUUAGGUCGGAUCGAAUUGUUUUAGAGAAACAUCUGAACCGAAAAGCAAAUAUUUUAAUAUUGAGAUCAAAUAAUUUUUUGUCUCAUAAUCAAAUCAAACCGCACCGCGAACAACAUUAACUACCCUUACACCGAAAAAGGAGAAGAAUGAAAACUUGAUAUCAAACUCAGGCAAAGGCUACGGUAGGCGACCUCUUUAGGUCUCCUACCGUAGGAGACUUGCCCUUUUUUUUUUCUUCUCUCUUUUUGGCAAAAUGGAUGUUAACCAUUAGAUAAUGAAGUUCUAUGAUUCUUAGCUUACACCAUCAACACUGAAUAUUUUUUUCGUCUUAUUUUCACUUUCCCAUUCUCUCUCCUCUCUAUUAGAAUCAUUCUUUCUCUUACCCAACAACAACAAGUGCAGCAACCACAAGAACACCCAAAUCUUCAUCUCCUUCCCCAUCACAAUAUAAAUCCAAUUGCUCCUUUUGUACUUGCAUGUUGCUUGCUCCUCAUGAUUAUAUUUCACUUAAAUAACUUGAGAUUGCUUCUCAAACUUCAUGAACACAGAUCUGCUGCUAUAUUUAAUUUCACUUUGCAGGAAAAAUGCUUCAAUUUCAACUUCGGAUGUCCCCAAAGGGAAUUAUUGAACGAUCAAAACAAAACAAAGCCAAAUCGGUAUUAUUGAAAGAUGAAUUUGAAUUCCAAUUUGAUUAGCAUUUUAAAAGGAAUUGUCGAAAAAUUGAUUAAAUCUGCAAUUUUUUAUUAUUUUUAUCUUUGAUGAAUAUGAAAGUUUUAAUAUUUUAUUUAUUGGGCUUGUUUGAAAUAUUAAGAGUAGAACAAUGAAGGAAAAUUGAUUAGCAUUUGAGUACCAUUCUUUUCCAAAUUUAUUUCAGAUCUGAGUAUUACUUUUUUGAACAAUUAAGAGUAGAACAAUGAAGGAAAAAAAUGGAUAUUUCGAUGGUUGGAAAAUCUGGAUCAAACCUGGUGUUCAUAUUAUAAGGAACAAAGAAAUAGUGUAAUUGGCAAAGGAGAAUAAACAGAGAGGGAUAUCAGAGAAAGGUGAAAGCUCAUGAGAGUUGAGAGGGAAGAAGACAAAUGAAAAAAUAAUCAAGUGUAUUCGAUCUAUGAUGUGUUUAACUAAUUUAACGGUUAGAAAAAGUCAUAAAGUCAAAAAAAAAAAAAAAAAGUCAUGCACGGUAGGGGACCUAUAAAGGUCUCCCACCCUAGACGCAGCCUCAAACUCAAACAUCCACGUAAAACAUCUUCGCAACCAAACACUACACCAUUGUAAAGGGAACAAAUAAUAAUAAAGAAACUGAAAAUAUGAUUAAUGACACCUCAUUCUUUGGGACAAUGACGUUGGAUUCCUCAUCCACUCCCUAAACGAAACGUUCUCAGCCUCAAACUCAAACAACAACAAAACUGUACAAAAACAGGAAAACAAAACACAAACUACAAAUUCUGUCUAUGUCCACCUCCUGUGUCUGACUUUUUAUAUCUUGUCCUCUCAACGCAAUUCAUCCCUAUUUCUCUCGUAGAUUUUUGUGUAGUUAUUAUUGGCUAUUAACAUUUACAGAAAAUUAAUGGUACAAGAAACUAAAAUUAAAAAUAAAGGACUAUCCACAAACAGCCUUAACUAAAGGUCAAGACAUUCUAAUAUGUCGGUGGAACUAGUAAAAAUGCAAAGGUUCUACUAUAUUGUGUAUCCUAACUAUUUACAAACAGCCUUAAAAAUAAAGGACUAUUCACAGUCUCCAUUUCUCUUAAAAUGUCAUAAAACUUUAAAAAAUUUAAUCACUUAAAACUUUAAAACAUGUUAUCAUUAUACAAAAAAAUGAGUUAUUAACAUAACUCAUAAAACUUCAUAAUUUAUUGAUGUUGUUACCCAAAAAAAAAAACAAUAACAUAAUUGACAUCAACAAUAACAUUGGUAGCCAAGUUUGAGGUAAAAUACAAACUUAUGAUAUGAGUGAAAGAGUGUCUAGCCGCCCCUAGUUUUCUAGUGAAAGAAACUCCAACUUCUCUUUAAACUUUUUUUCUCCUUCGCUCAUCGUGGAGGGGUGAUUUUAGGUCAUUUUUUGACCUAGAAUCACCUCUCUACAUCUUUUUUCCCUUUUCUUUCAAUCUAAAUAAGUGGUUUUCACAAAUAUCAAGUUUUUCUUUUGUGUUUUUUUUUGUGAUUUCGUCGUCUAAGUGCGGCGUUGUGUUGUUCGUCGUCUUGUGCGGCGUUUGAUUUCGUUUCUUGUUGUGGUGUUCGUUUAGUUACUAUUGAAAGAUCGGCGAUAGUCAAUUACAAAUUCAACCAAUGAUCUGGAUGUCAACGUUGCAGAUCCGGAAGCAUGUGAAUUUCAAUGACUUAGGUUUUAUCAUAUUAUUUGUAGGCAUUUUGCCAUUUUAUGCUAUUAACUUGGGUGUUGUGAGUUUGUUUGCAGAUUCACCCUUUACGUUUUUAGCGAUGUUUGUAUCUGAUGUACUCUUUAUCGAUUUGGUUGAAUGAAUAUCGUUUUGUUAUUGUAAAAAAAAAAAAACAUAAUUAACAUAUUUAAAAACAUGACAAUUUUUAUAGUAAAAAAUAGGUCGGUUUAGUCUAAAUGACUAAUAGGUCACUCCAUUGUCCGAUAAAAAAAAAGUAAAAAACUAUAAUUAGGGUCACAUUUAGGGUUGGAUUAUAUUAUUAUUAGUUGGCUUAAUUGGACUUUUGGUCCCUUAAGUAAUUUGUUGUUUUCAUUUUGGUCCCAUAACUUGUAAAAUCAACGUUUUAGUCCCUCUUGUUUUGCUUCGUCAGUCAAUUUAGUCCCCUCCGUUAGCUUUUUAAUGUCUAAAAUUUUUGAUUUGAUUUUAACCAUUUGAUUGAGUGUCCAUUGCGUUUAAUAGUGGACCGUUAUCACCUAAUUGUUUUCACUUUCCAUCAUCUUCUCUCCAUUUCUUUAUCUUCCUCCUUCCCCUUCUUCAUCUUCUUCAACACCACAUUCAUAAACAUUCAUACAAAACUCAUAAAAAUUUUCCAGAAACAACAACCAUCACACAAAAUAAAACAACAUGAUUGUAAUAAACCAAGAAAUCAUCUCCUUGAAUCUUGUUCUUCACUAUUCAUUUCACCACGUGAGACCAAAAAUAAAUAUGAUUAAUUUCUGGAACAAAUCAUUUCGAAUGGGUGAGUGAAUUGAGAAGUAGAAACAAAAUCUAAUUGAAAUCGAAGAAGUUGAAGUAGGAAUGAAUUAGGGGACAAAAAAAGAGAGAUCUGAAAAUGAAAAUGGUGAAGAAGAACAAUAUAAAACAAAACCUUCUCUUUUCUCUUCCUCCUUCAUUUUCACGACAACAAGACAGAACCCCAACAACAACAACCUUAAAAAAACCUCCAAACAACAGCAUAAAAAAAAAAAAAAACACAAUUUAUAGUGAUUUGUUAGUUUUCAAUAUGUUGAACUAACGUUAAAUUAACAAAUCCAGGAUGAAACUAGCUAUGUUAAUUUAACGGUUUGUUGAUUCCUUUAUAAAUGUUCAUGAAUAAUUGUUUUAUGCAUGAAUUCACCUCAAUACACACCAACUGUCACGCCUAGUCGGGAUUCGAAAAGAUGGUGUAACGAUUGUUUAUGAUGGAUGACCGGAAUGAAUUUAUAAGUUUGUGUUGAUAGAUAUUGAAAUUUAUGGGUAUGAGAUUGUGUUUAAAACAUGUGAUAGAUCUGAAAAUCAUUCAUGAUUUUGAGUGUUGUUAUGUUUUUUAUUUGUGAUAGAUCUGGUUUUUUUUUCUUCUGGAUUUUGAAUUUUUGAUGAAGAGGGUAUGAAGAUGAGGUAGAAGAUGAAGGAAGGAGAUGAUGUAAUCCGAAAAAAAUUAGCUAUUGAUGGUAUACCGUAAGAUACAAUAGACGUUCACUAUCUAACAAUCACUUUUUCAUAAAAAAAAUAUUGAAUGGUUAAAAUUAAAAGAAUUAAUAAGAUCUAUGGUGGACCACAUUGUUUUUAUUCCACUUAAGGCAUUUGAAGUUAAAGUUAACGGUUAGGGACUAAUUUGACUAUCGGAGACAUUUUUUAGGGACCAAAACGUUAAUUUUACGAGUUAUGAGAUCAAAAUGAAAACAACAAAUUACUUAGGGGACCAAAAGUCCAAUUAAGCCUUAUUAGUUUGUUUAUUUUUACAUGAUUGCGAUUAUUCUAUACUUUGAAAGUAUUUUAUUAUUUAUUGACUAAAUUUAAUCAUUUUUAAUUACGUUUUCAAAUAUUUUAAGAGAGAGGGUGUCACAUGACCAUCGGUCCCAUAGCUAGCUUGAUGGGAGCUCAAAGCCCUUGCUUAAAUGUCACAUUUAUCAUGUAGAACAACUUCUCGAUGGAGAGUACAAAUAAAUUCAUAGAGAUUUCCUGCUAAAUCAAAUUGUACUAGGGCAUAAAUUCAUUCAAAACUUUGUCAUUUCAAAAUAUAUUAUAUUUUCAACUUAUAGGUUUCAUAUUUCAUGGAAAAAAUGUGAAAGAAUACAUUCAUUCGAUUUGAUUGGAUUGUGUAUUCUAUUUGAAAACAUCAAAAUUUUGUGAUUAUUAAUAAGAUAGUUUAAUAGGUUCUCUGAUCAAAAUGGUGAAUCUAUUGAUUUGGCCAUGAAUUAAAUCCAAAACUUUUCUUACGGUUACUAUCCAUGGUACACUGAUACACAAUACACAACCACUCCGAUUUGUAGAUGUGAUUUUAUCAGACAAUUAAUCUUUGUUUUGAUUUGGCGGCAUCGUUGUUGUGAUCCUUCUUUGUAAUUGACAUUUUUUUUAUCACAAAAAUAAAACGAUAUUCAUUCAAAUCGAUAAAUUACAUUCAUUCGACUUAAUAGUAUACAAUAGAAAAAUGCUUACACAUAAUACGAUAAAAUUAAAGUGAUUGGGAUACGUAAGUCUCUGAAUCUGUUGACGUCUAAAUCAAGCGGUUGAAGCUAUUACAUAUGUUGAUUAAGUGACUCAAUGGGUUGAAGUUAUUGCUUAUGAAUGACCAAUUUGAAGAUAUCAACCGUUGGAUUGCAAAUGUUUGGCUUCAAAAUGGGAGUCAAGUGGAUUUCUAGUGUGGGUUUCUAUUUUCGAUAUGAUCGUUAUCAUUCAAUAUGAACAAAUGAACAUUGAGGCAAGACAUGCAUGAAACCAAACAACGUCAUACUCAGUCGAUCGAUGAAAUCACGUAGAAAAAACCUAGAUCUAUGUGAAUAUCACUUAUUUAAAUUGAAAUAAAGCGAAAAGGAUGAAGAUGUGUGAUUUCUGGUCAAUUUACCACCCCAUCGAUGAUGAAAAUAGAAGAGAGAAAACUAGGACAUACUUAUUAGAGAGAGAGAGAGAGAGAGAGAGGCGCUACACUCUAAAGUUCUAGUUGACUUUUGUAUUUUGUUAAUUUUAGCACUAAUUCAACACGAUUUAUGCUUUUAGUUUUAUUAGAGUUAAAUAUAUUUUAGUUCAUAUAGAAUUGAGAAAUUAUAAGUUUAGUCCUUGCUUAAUUUUAACAUUUUUUUUAGUCCUUACAAAAAAAAAUUACAUGUAAUUUUAGCCCUUGUUAAAACAAAGUUUUUUUUUAUUCUUAAAGUCUUAAAUUUUUGAACAAUUGUCUGAGUCAAGUUUAAAACAUUACAAAAGGUUCAUUUACUUUUUAUUUGAGGGAACAAAAGGUUCAUUUACUAAAAUUUAAAAUUUUUGUAACAUGUAAUGAAUUAAAUAUGAAUUUUUUUCAUCAACAAAAGUUCAAGAUAAAAGUAUCAAUACUUUAUACGUAGAAAUCAAAUUAUGAGAUGAUUUUUUGCGGAUGAACUUUUGUUAAUGUUUUUAACACCUCCACAAGAAAGUUGUUCAAAAACUCAGGAGUUUAAACAUAAUUAAACAAAUUUAAAUAUAAAAAGAACUAAAAUUGGGAGCAGAAACUUUUAUAGAGAUUAAUAAAACUAUUAAAAUUAAGUAAUGACUAAAUUUAAAAACCCCAAUUUAAUAGAAGAAAAAAAAAACAUAGUUAACCCUUUUUUUUUGGUAGAUGACGAAAUGACAAAGACAUUAUAAACUCAGACACACAAGUAGAGGUACCGGGGUUCAAACCCCCAUCAUAAUAUCCGACCUAACAAUUUCGACAUUUUUACAUGUUGAGUUAAGACUUGUGGAUAGUUAACCCUUUUAUUAUAGGCUCAUAUAUUUAUCAUUGGUUGACCUUUAGAAAAAACAAUGAAAAACUUGUUUUGUCAAACAAAUAAAUGAACAAGCUUAUUCCCUGCCGCCCUACGUACCUUACCCCACCAGACUAUCCGUUAGGGAGUCCCACAAGAGGUACCCAUCUCAUCAUUAUCACCAUGUGCAUUAUUGGAGAAUCUACGGUCACCAUUUCCAGCGUGUAUGAUACGACCAAGUAGGCAAGUACCACUUCUCAUUCACAUUCAUUCAUAUUGACCAUUUCCAAUAUUCUAUAUAAUACUUUAAUAAAAAUAAUAAUUUAAAAAUAGAUUAAAAUAACCCAUAAAUAUAAUUUAGUUAUAAGAAGUUGAUUUAUCUGUAAAGUCGUAGGUUUAACACUCUUAAAUUAUUCAGAUCAAUUCUGAUCCCUGUGAAAUCAUAAGCUCAACUCAUAAACUUUUUAUUAAGAGAAGAAAUUUAUUAACUAAUUUAAAAGGGAUAUUACUUAUGUGGUCAUCCACCAUUUUUUUUGUACACUAACACAUAACACAUAUAAAUUACAAACAAUGUUUUUAAUUAAAAUUAUAUGUAUAAACGAUUGUGAUUAUCAAAUUGUAAAAAACAUGCUUAUUUUUAUCAAUGACACCGUAUAAUAAAUAUAAUAUAAAUUAUCAUCUUUUUAUUUUUGUUGAAAAAAUUCUCAAUUUUAUAAAUAACAUCAAUAAUAUAACAUCCUUAUAAAAAAAAGUUGUUUAAAAGUAUGACUGAAAUAUUAAAAAAGAUAUCUAAAAAUUCUCUUUCUCCUUUAUAUAUUUCUUUUUUGAACAAUUUCUCUAGAUAUUUAAUUUGUUCAUAUAUCCCUUUUUUAAUUGUUUUAAUACUCUAACAAAACAAACAUUAGGUGAAAUUAAACAAUGAGAAAUUCCCUAAAAUAAUAAAAAUAAAGAAUGAACGAGAUAUAUACUUAAGCAUAAAAAUAUCAUAUUUUAGUUCCCCACCAUCUCUCUCUCUUCGUGGAAAAAAUAUUACUAAGCGCAGAAUUUUUCCACCCACUUAGUAGCACGCCGAUUUGAUUUUUCUCUUCUUCGGUGAAGCCCUCAUGUCAUGUCAUGACUCUUGAGGUAAAUUAUUUAUUCCUUUUUACGUCAUUUUUAAUUCAUUAUUUAUAUAGUCAAUGGAUGCAAUCAUAACAUUUUCUGCAUUAUCACUAUCAAUUAUUAUGAUUUGAUUUUGAAGUUAACAUUUUUUUAUUAUAUAGUUUUUGAUUAGUUUAAUCUGUGUGUGAUUUCAAGGUAUUUACGGAAGGUGGUGUUUGACUUUGUUGCUAAGAAACAACCUGUUAGUUGUGAAGGUUACGGAAGGUCAAGUCUUUUGAUUCAAUUUAUUCAUCAAUAAACACUUCAUGUUUGUUGUGUUUUCAUUUUGAUUUUUGUUUUCUUUCUGGUGAAUGGAAUUGGAUCUAUUAUCUUUGAUCAAUUUAUUUUUGCCUGUUUUUGAUUGGUUUGAAAGUUUCUCUCAUAUUAUGUGGGAAAAGUUUCAUUUUUUAUGAUUUUAAUUUUGUGUCCACCUAGUGUUUGUUGAUGGGUCUGAACAAAUUUGGUAAUUGUGAAGAGCAUUGUUUGAGAAUUGAGGGUUACCCUUUUCGUUCCGAGUUUUGUUCAUAGAGAGUGGAUUGAUAAAGUGUCAUUUUUUAUUUAUUGCUGCAAGUUUUUUCUUUUGGGAGUUUUGUUCUGAUAAGAUGGAUGAAACUAGUAAUUCUUGGUUAAGAAGGACAAAAUUCUCUCACACGGUUUGUCACCGAUUGGAUUAUUCGAGAAUAGGCUCUUUCAUUAUUCAGCAAGAUGCAGUGCCGAAUUCCGGUCUGAAAUCAAGGACACCAUCGUUAGUUUCAUCAGCUUCAGUAACAGCAGCAUCGGCACCAGCUUCGGCAACAGCAACAGCAACAGCAGCAUCUGCACCUCCUGUUGUUUCUAAGGUUUCAAAGGUUCAGAAACAUCCUUUAACAAAUAAGCAGAGAUCUUUGUCUCCUUUGCCUGAAACCUCUCUCUCUCAAACCUUUAAGGAAGCCAAGCAUGAACAGAAGAGGUUCUCGACUCCUGGUCCAAGAAGGAAAGAGCAGGAUACAAGAAUCAUGGGGAAACUACUGAACAAGGACUCUCAAGUUUCCAAAUCUAAAUCGCCCCAAAAAAGUCCAAUUAGGCACUUUUCAUCGAUAAGAUUCAGUGACAAGUUGAAGAACCGAAAGGACUCGGGAUGGACAAAGUAUUUUGAUCAUGGUGGAGGAAAGGUUACCGCAGUCGAAACGGCUGAGGAAUGGAAUGUUGACCUCUCUAAGCUCUUUGUUGGUCUUAGGUUUGCUUAUGGGGCUCACAGUAGGCUUUACCAUGGUAUGUAUGAGGAGGAACCUGUUGCUGUGAAAAUAAUCAGGGUACCGGAUGAUGACGAAAACGGAACAAUGGCUGCUACAUUAGAGAAACAAUUCAUCACAGAAGUCACACUUUUAUCUCGCCUCCACCAUCAAAAUGUUCUUAAGGUAAUCAAAUCAAACCCUUUCUCUUCCUUUGUAUAGGCUAUUUAUUUGCUGUAGAAAUAAAAAUUAGAUGAAGUACACUACCUGCUUGUUCUUAUUAUAUUAUUUUCAAGUUUUUUUUUACCUCAACCAUGGUAAGGUUGGCCAAAACUUAAUACACAUGUCUUAACUUUUAUCAAAGAACAUCGCCACAACUAUUUAACAAGUUGUCUUAAGCUUUGUGUGGUACUACUUAUUCAUGGCAUAAUAUAGAAUACUUUGUAAUAAUUAUUGGACUUGAUUCCUUAGCUUUGUUAAAAUAAUCCGCUGUAAAAACAAGGAUACUAUUAUGUACAGCCUUUGUAUAUUUUGGUCUAAUUAUGAAGUUCAUAUUUCACAUCAUGUUGAGAAAUCUACUAUAACAAGGAAUGUAUUUUAUACAUAAUUUCUCAUAUAUCUUGAUCUGAUUGUGCAGUUCGUAGCAGCAUGCAGAAAGCCACCUGUUUACUGUGUUAUCACAGAAUAUCUAUUAGAAGGUUCAUUGAGGGCAUAUUUGCAUAAGUUGGAGGGGAAAAUCAUUUCUUUACAGAAGCUAAUUGCUUUUUCUCUGGAUAUUGCUCGUGGAAUGGAAUAUAUACACUCUCAAGGUGUCAUUCAUCGAGACCUUAAACCAGAGAAUGUUCUCAUUAAUGGGGACUCUCAUCUUAAAAUUGCUGAUUUUGGCAUUGCCUGUGAGGAAGCAUACUGCGACUUACUUGCUGAUGACCCUGGUACUUACCGUUGGAUGGCACCUGAAAUGAUCAGACGAAAGUCCUAUGGGAGAAAGGUUGAUGUCUAUAGUUUUGGGCUUAUCUUAUGGGAAAUGCUCACCGGUACAAUACCAUAUGAGGAUAUGACUCCCAUCCAGGCUGCGUUUGCUGUCGUAAAUAAGGUAUGUUCCUUUGCAAUUAAGUCAUGUGAAUUUUCCAUAUGAAUAGUGAAACCUCGUUAAUAUUUAUAACACUAUUCUUCAUUGCCAGUCAAAGCAUUUUUUAUAAAACUUUUAAGUUUCUUUUGUGCAAAAUGCAUUGAAAACGUCCACAGCCUUUUUUUAAACAUAACUCCAUUGAAAAAAUGCUAGUUCAUAACCAUUUGAUGUCAUGAAAGAGUAUAUUUUAUAGCAAAAUCAAAUGCUGUUUUGAGAUUUAGCCAAAUCCCUGGUGAGAUAUCUUCAUUGCUUUGAAAACAAAAACAAAGGUGGAGUGAUAGAAUACUGAUUACUUUAUAUCUAUCCAUACUUGGCAUAGAUGUAUUAACUGAUUGAGAAAGAAAAACAAUUGUUUGUAUAAGUUUAUAAAAAUUGUUUCUUAAACUAACAUGAAUUGGUUUAUAUGAAAUUAUUACUCUGUUUCCUUGAGUGAUGUAGCAUUGUUGCUGAUAGAUUACUAAGAAUGAAGCUUAAUGAAUUCUUAUGAUCGUCAAAUAUCUGUAGUUGUGGGAAAGGUUUUGCUGUUGAACGGUUUCAUGCCAUUUCAUUUUUUAUUGGCAGUUUAUGCAUCUUCGUUUUUUGGAUAAAAGGAGGGCCUAAACCUAAAUUUUGCAUCUAAUCUUGAAUAAAAGUGGAAGUUUUCAGCCAUCUAUAUUAUUAUUUUUCUCUUGAAAUUAAAAUGACCAGUUUAUGUUUACUUAGGCAAUUCUAAUACUUUUGUGAUGUGGUAUUCAGAAUUCGAGGCCUAUCAUUCCUUCAAACUGCCCACCAGCAAUGCGAGCUUUAAUUGAGCAAUGUUGGUCCUUGAAUCCGGACAAAAGGCCUGAUUUCUGGCAGGUUGUUAAGGUGUUGGAGCAAUUUGAAUCUUCGCUUGCUCGUGAUGGAACAUUGACCCUGCUACAAAACCCUUGUGGCCAAGAUCAUAAAAAAGGGCUUCUUCAUUGGAUUCAAAAGCUUAGUCCUGCACAUCAUAGUAGUGGUCCCGUGCCCAAACCAAAAUUUACAUGAAUCUUCUGAGUGUCCUGACUUUUGUAGUACACUAGGUCCAUUGUAAUUAAUAUUGAAUGGUUUAAAUACCAACCCUCUGCAGAAAAAGGUUGUUAUAGGUUCAGUCUAUAGUUCUCUUUAUAACAUUCAUAUGAGAGUAAAAUUGAUAUGUAGGCCUUGUACAUUGAGGUGAAAACAUAAUUUAUUUUCUCGGUCAUGCAAAUAACUUACGGCGAAGUUAUUGCGCUGUGCCGGUAGUAGUAGUUCUUUUUGGGGGCAAUAGUUAUCUGUUUUUAUUUGUUAUACAAGCCUAUAAGGUACUUCACAUUUUAUACAGUUUAAGUUUUAAUUCUGUAUUUGUAAUGUGUUAAAUUCUUUUUAUCUGAUGCAAUGACUGUUGUAUACUCAACCCGUGACAGUUAGUUCAUAACUGCUUAUUUUGCUCUUUUAGUAGCAAUCUAUCAGAAUGGCAUAAUCAACAAUAAGCAUAACAUCAAUGUAAGACUAAGAUUUAGUUAAGGUUAAUGGGUAUUAAAGUAAUUGGAGGAUAAUUGACCAUGAUUAAUGCUUUAUAUUUUUAUACUUUUUGAAUGUUAUGCAUGUGAUAUUAAAGCUUUUCGCUUUUGGGAUAUGCAGUGUACUUUUCCUCCAAGUUCCAACUACUUGUGGAUUCAACCAACAUGACAAUAAUAAGCUACUAUUCUGUUAAUCAAUGCUAAAAUAUCAUAAAAUUCAUUAGUUGGUUGUUUUUUUGUUAAACUUUGUGAACGAGUCACAUUCAUUACGCUUUCACUUUCACUAUAAAGUGCCUGUAUAUGUUGUGAUGGUAUUGGUUUUAAACACUUUUACAUGCUUGAGUUAAGUAUGUGCAAUGAAUCUGCAUGAGGUUGCAUGUGACUUCCAAAAUUCUUUCGGAUAAAAAGAUUUUCGACCAAAAUAUCAUGUAAAGAAAACGAGCUGCUAUGUAUAAUGUUUUAUAUGAAUUUGUUGAAAUAAAAUUAGAUAAAGUGCUCUACAUGCUUGUUCUUAUUAUGUUCUUUUCAAGUUUUCUCACCUCAACUAUUAUAAGGACAUAAGGUUGGCCAAAACAUAAUACACAUGUGUGACAUGUCAUGAUUUUUAUUGAAGAACAUAGCCACAAGCAUUUCAAUUUUUUUGUCUUAAGCUUUGUGCGCAACUAUUUGUUAUUCUUGUUUAAUACAAUGUUGGCAUAGUAUACAAUAUUUUGUUAUAAUUAUUGGACUUGAUUCUUUAGUUUUGAUGAAAUAAUCAACGAUAAAAAUGUGGAUAUUAUUCUGUACAUCGUUUGUUAUAUAUUUUAGUCUAAUUAUGUGAAUCAUACUUCACAUCAUGUAGGGAAAUUUACUAUUACAAAGAAGGUGUUUUAUAAACGAUUUCUCAUACAUCUUAAUCCGAUUGCGCAGUUUGUAGCAGCAUGCAGAAAAGCAUAUGUUUAUUGUGUUAUCACAGAGUAUCUAUCGGAAGGUUCGUUGAGGGCAUAUAUAUAUUUGCACAAGUUGGAUAUUCUAUUAGCGGGUCUCAAGCCUAGAUGACAGGAGAUGAUUGUGUUAGGCCUCGACAAACAUCAUAAAAUUUUCUCGAAUCUUUAUGAUAUGGACCAAAAUAUGUAAUAAGAACAUUAUCGCAUAAUUUUAUCCAUGUAGCUUAUCUAACUUAUUGGGAAAAUGCUUGAUUGUCGUUGUAUAUUCGUAAUUUGGACUUUGGUAAGAACAUUAGUCAUUCUCUAAGUCUAAGUUGCUUAGUUUUUGCAUAUAUGGCUUUUCAAUAACAUCUACAUGUCAAGUGAAGCUAUGUGCAUGGGCUUGUUACGUACUGCUACGUACUUUAAAUUCAUUCUUUACUCACAUGGGUACUUUUGGUGGCAUUGUUGAGGAAGAAUUGUGGCUGAGAUGAAAUUGCUUAAAGAGGUCCAGAAACCUUGUAGUGUGUUACUAGGUUUCCUUCUCUUUUUCUAAAUCACAGUAAUAUGUUUCUCUCUUUUAUGUUUAGCUACCUUAGAUAACUUCACCAUCCUAAUCUUGUUGAAGCUCGGAAGGAGACCAGUAUUCGAGUUUAUGCCCAAAGGGGAUCUUAGAGAAUCAUCUGUUUAGAAUUAAGUUUCCAUAAUCACUAACAUGCAUGAUGCCUCUUUUCAUAACUACGACGUUAAGAAAAAAAAUGAAAUUUUGAUUUGUUAAUGGUUAAAGUAAUUGACAUUAACAUGAGACAGAGACUGAUUUAUGUUCAUUGUAAUUUGACUGGAAAACUACAACCAUUGUCUUUUGAUUUUCACUUUAUCGAAAAUUUGCAAUACUUAGACGCUGUGAAUUUGUUUCUUCAUGUUGAUCUUGAUUAAAAUAGUGUAUUAAUUCAUCCUGAUCUUGGUUAAUAAACCAAGUUUGUUAUUUACCAAGGGUGUUGCAGAGUCCCCUUGUACGUUUGUUUUGUUGCAAUCUUAUACAAAAGAUUUGAAUAUGUUGGAUGUCUCAUUUAUCCAUAUUAAUUAUUUAUAGUGUUUCCACUUUGUCGAAGUUAGAUUAUUUUUGGACUUAAUAAAUGUGGUUUCUAAUUUUGGAAUUUCUUUUUGCUGUGAAAAAUGUUUUUAUAAAACUUUUUUUUUCAUUAAAAAUGAAUCAAUCAAAAAUGAUUGUGUUGAUUAAACAAUAUUUUUUUUUUUUUACAAUAAUUCUAAUAUAAUGAUUUUUAAAUAAGCUAGAAAUUUAAUUUAAAAUGAAUUUAAAUGAGUUAAAAAUGUAAUUAUAAUUUUUAAAUAAAAUAAUUUUUUUGAAUAAAAUAUUGAUCUACCUUUGACAUGGACAAUUCCGGUAAAACUUUGAAGUCAGGUUGACAUAUCAAAUCAAAAGAAAGUGUGUCACUAACCCUAGACAAGGUUUUUGAGAGGAGUAAGAGCAUCUACAUCCAUUCCUCCCACUUUGGUUGCUUAAAUGGGCCCCACUUAUAUUAUUUCAUACAUUCCAACUAUUUAAGCAACUUAACUAAAUUUUCUAAAUAUCCAUACCAUCCAUAAAAAGCAUUCAAAUGGGUCCCAUUAAACCAAGUUUCGAUUCUCAGGGGGAACAACGUUUGACCAGUGCGCAUGCCUCAACGCAUAAGUUGGAUUAGUCGCCCACUAUAGGUGGGUCGGAAACCGGUGCGAAAGCCUAAAAAAAAAAUAUUAUAUAUAAAUAUAUGUUUUUGUUGGAGUUUUAAUAUCAAAAAUUGAUGUUGGCAUUGCAAAAAGUGAAAGACAUCGUUGCAUUGGAGUACCACCAUGGUAUAGAGGGUGUCUUUGUUUCUCAAAUAUCAGCGAACCACGGUAGUAAAAUUCUUGGGAGAAGUAAAGACACCAUCCAAGUCAACCGAUAUUGAUGCUCUAAGCCUCUUACAAUUUUUUCAGGUGUUUAACCCCUCGUAAUUUGUGAUGACCUUAUUUGGAAGGCAUCAUACCCCUCGUAAAACGUCUGUCAAAUGUUUGUUUCUCGAGGGGUUUUGAUGUUUUUUCCAAGGGUUCUUCCCCUGCCAAUUAACAAACUUUAUUCUAGUGAAUAUUGGAAAUGACAUGCCGAAUCCUGAUGAAUUUGCACGACUUAUAAAUUAUUAAUUAUUAAGUACAUUCUUUGUAGCGUCUUAGGUUAUUAUCUAGUGUGUUUUGUUUUACGUAAAAAUUUAUUUUGUUCAUUGUUGUUCGUAAUUGUGCUCAUCGUUAGCGUUCAAUCAAGGCAUUAUAUACAACAAUCUUAGAAAUUUAUCAUAUCUGUUGCCGACAACAACGAUGACAAUGUUACAAGCACUGAAGCAAAGAAGUCUUUUUUUUUCAAAUUCAAAUUUGAAAAGAUUUAAAUUGAAUAUUGAAUGAGAGUAAAAUUUAGAUGAUAAUACAAAUUUUAAUUAAAAAAAUUAAUUAAAAUAAAAUAUAUGAUGAAAUAUAUAUAUACACAAUGAAAUAAAAUAGAAAAAAGCGGACGGCAUAUGUAAAUAUUAAAAAAAAGGAGAAAACUUAGUACAAUUUAUUAGGUAUUUUUCGUAUGGUUCUUAACUAAAAAUACAUAUUUUUUAGAUAUAACAAACUUUGAGAAAAUUAUGGAUUUAAGGAAAUCAUGGUGAAUUUAGUUAAGAACCAUACGAAAAACAACUAAAAAAUUGUACUAAGUUUUCUCCUAAAAAAACUCAAUAGGUAUAGAUAAUUAUUAAUUAUAGUAAGGAAUUAGCUCUUUUUAUUCAAAAAAAAAAGUAUUAAUUAUAGUAGGCAUAGAUAAGUAUCAAAAAUCAAAAUAGUGUAAAAAAAAAAAAAAAAAAAAAAAGAAAAAGAAAGAUAAGUAUAAAAAAAAUUCAAUAGGUGAAAACAAUAAUUGGAAGAUGCAUGGGACUAACGUAAAAUAUAUACCUGAUGGGUUUCCCCCUCCUAAAAUAAAUGCCCUUCAAUUAGAUUUAAAAAAUAAAUAUAACCUUUCAACAAAAAAAAAAAAGGAUAUAUUUAAGGGAAGUUUCAUAGUUAGUUAGAGAGAAAGAAGGAAGUAAGCAUCGAUCGGAGUAUAUAUAAGAGACUUUGUUGCACUCCUUAAAAAUUGUUUGGAAUAGACUUUUUCAUUGUUGAGCGGCACCAGCAUGGCAAUAGCAAUUAGGCACUUUUCAUCGAUGAGAUUGAGUGAUAAGUCGAAGAACCGAAAGGUUACUGCGAUUGAAACAUCUGAGGAUAAAUGGAAUAUUGACCUCUCUAAGCUCUUUGUUGGUCCUAGGUUUGCUCAUGGAGCUCAUAGUAGGCUUUACCAUGGUUUGUAUGAAGACGAACCUGUUGCCGUCAAAAAUAUCAAGGUACCAGAUGACGAUGAACACGGAACAAUAGCUGCUACAUUAGACAAACAAUUCUUCACGGAAGUCACGCUUUUAUCUCGCCUCCACCAUCCAAAUGUUCUUAAGGUAAUUAGAUUCAACUGUUUCUCUUCUUUUGUAUAGUUUUUAUUUAUUUAAUGGAAUAUAAAUAUAUAAGUAAAGUUAGGUAAACCAUACAGAAAAUUAGGGAUACUAUUUUCUACAUCCUAUGGGAAAUUGGUCUAAUUAUAUUAUGCACUUCAUACAUACUUCACAUCAUGUAUAGAGAAAUUUAGUAUUACAAGGAAGGUGUUUUAUACAUGAUUUCUCAUAUAUAUAUAUAUUGAUCUGAUUGUGCAGUUGGUAGCAGCAUGCAGAAACCCACCUGUUUAUUGUGUUAUCACAGAGUAUCUAUCGGAAGGUUCGUUGAGGAGUUAUUUGCACAAGUUGGAGGGAAAAACGAUUUCUCUACAGAAACUAAUUGCUUUUUCUUUGGAUAUUGCUCGUGGAAUGGAAUAUAUACACUCUCAAGGCGUCGUUCAUCGAGACCUUAAACCAGAGAAUGUCCUUAUUAAUGAUGACUUUCACCUUAAAAUUGCUGAUUUUGGCAUUGCUUGUGAGGAAGCACACUGCGAGUUACUUGCUGACGACCUUGGUACCUACCGUUGGAUGGCACCUGAGAUGAUCAAGAGAAAAUCCUAUGGGAGAAAGGUUGAUGUCUAUAGUUUUGGGCUUAUGUUAUGGGAGAUGCUUACCGGUAGAAUACCAUUCGAGGAUAUGACUCCCGUCCAGGCUGCUUUUGCUGUCCUAAAUAAGGUAUGUUCCUUUGCAAUUAAGUCAUGUCAAUUUGCGAUAUGAAUGGUGAAACCUUGUUAAUAUUUAUAAUGACAUAUCAUUCUUUAUGUUACAGCAUUUUUUUAUGAAGAUUCCUUCACUUAAUUAUAUGACAAUUACAAAGAUUUGUGUUUUUUUUCUUUUCAGAAUUCAAGGCCUGUUAUUCCUUCAAACUGCCCACCAGCUAUGCGAGCUUUAAUGGAGCAAUGUUGGUCCUUGAAUCCGGACAAAAGGCCUGAGUUCUGGCAGGUUGUUAAGGUGUUAGAACAAUUUGAAUCUUCGCUUGCUCGCGAUGGAACGUUGACCCCGCUACAAAAUCCUUGUGGACUUGAUCAUAAAAAAGGGCUUCUUCAUUGGAUUCACAAGCAUAGUCCUACACAUCAACAUCAUAGUAGUGGUUUUGUGGCUAAACCAAAAUUUACAUGUAUAUUCUGAGUGUCCUGACUUGUGUAAUACACUAGAUCCAAUAUUGUAAUUAAUAUUGAAUGGUUAAUUUGAAUACCAAGAUUUUUGUAAAGAUUCAUGGGUAUUAAAGUAAUUGGAGGAUUUAUGUAGAUGACAUGGAUUAAUGCUUUUUGUCAGGAUGCUCUUUGAAUGUCUCGGUACGUUAGAAUGCACUGGUAGGCUAACUGUAUACAUGUGAUUGUAAAGCUUAAUAUAUAUGUUACUGGAAUUUUCACUUUUAAGAUAUGCACUGGUAGAACGAAAAAUGCAACAAAAAUGAUAAUUGAAUGACCGUUUUGUUUUUUUUUUAAAAGAGCAGAACCAGUUUCGUGAGUAGGCCAAAACACGAGGAUCAAAAGUGUAAUUAAGCCAAAUAAAUAACAACAAUGAUCCUUGGACACCCUAAAUUUUCUUACAUUCAUUCCACAUCUUAUUUUCUCAAUAUCUCUCUAUCUCUCUCUUCAUAUCACAUCACUCUCUCUCAAGAUGUAUACACCGCUGGAGUGUCUAACAAACAUUUUUCCAAUAAAUACACUGUAAUUCUACUAGUAGGGCUAGUUAUUAUAUCAUUUGUGGGAGUCUCUUUGCUUGUUGACUAUAGCCAAUCACUGAUCACUAUAUGAUAUAAUGGCUGGAUUAAGGUUGGGUCUUAUGGCGGCAUCCCUACCAUCAACAGACAAUACACAUAGAAAUUUAUUUUAGAUUUAUUACUGAAAGACUGAACAAAAGGAAAGUGAUAUAUAUCUUUUGUUUUACCUGAGAAGGAAAAAACAAGUAGAACAGUACAAAUUAACAAACUGCAACUACUUGUCAAUUAACAUUACAUUUUUCAAGUCAAAUGCUACCUUAUCAAUCAACAAAAAUAUUUACAGUAUAUGUCUUAUUUGAUCUUGGAAACUUGAGCAGCUUAUAAAUCUAUGUAUUGUUUCUUGGCGGUGGAGGCUUAAUUCUGGUUAUCAGUACUCUCAAAUAUGCUUGUGAAGUCUCUGAUGCGGGACGCGAGGGCAGAGGUGGACCCCAUCUAGGGGAUUGUUUAGACUCUAGCUAGGUUGUGGAGGUCGUGGGUUCCUUCCAAGGUGGUUGUCUUCUCUUUGCAGAUCCUUAGUCGAGCUAGUGGUCGAGAGGGCGAAGGUCUUCUCUUGAAAAUGGUUCCUUAAAAAUGCCCUGCUAGCCCGUGCUCCUUCUUCGAGUGGGAGAUGCAUCCCAUCCUAUGAUGCUGGUCGGUGGGUGGCAAAGGGGGCACCGUUGCGGUUCUUCCUCAUGUCAUCUAGCUAUCCAGAUGUUUUUUUUUGUGUGUGUUUCUCUCUUUUGCAGAGGGAAGUAGCUGCUAACUUGCUUGUUGGUGUUUUUGUGGUCUUUGUUUUUGGUGCAUUUUCCAAUCUUUUUGUUCUCUUUUUGGAGACCUUCGUAAUAUAUAUUUGGCUUAAUUGCACUUUUGGACCCCUAUCUUUUUAAAAGUUGCGGUUAUGGACCCCUAACUAAUUUAAAUACAAAACAGCCCCCUAUGUUUUGAUUCUUUGGCAGUUUUGGACCCCCAAGGCAAAAAAAAAUAAAAAAUUGACACGUGGCACCUUACUUAGGGUGCCACGUCAGCGUUGACCGAGUCAACAAUGGACUGGGGGUCCAAAACUGCCAAAGAAUCAAAACAUAGGGGACUGUUUUGUAUUUAAAUUAGUUAGGGGUCCAUAACCGCAACUUUUGGAAAGAUAGGAGUCCAAAAGUGCAAUUAAGCCUAUAUAUUUACAUAUAUUUUCCCUUAAAAUAAU
rnacentral:lncRNA from 1 species